AAUCUCGUUCGCUAUUACCGGAUCAGUCACAACAAUUUGACAAGACUCGGUAUCGGUGGUGAAUACAAGAUCCAAGUAGGUGCUGUUUGCGUUCGGCAAAUCGCAAAUUUGCAUCAGUCCAGCUGACAGCAAACCAUCAACAAUGGCAGCUUCACUCUGAGAAGUAAUUCGAUCAGUUUGGCAGGUUGAAAUCCCCACAAACGACGACCGUAUCAUUCGGACCAGCGGCUUCAACCAUGGACUCAACAAAAACGACGAACGAAUCGUAACGACGAGUGUUAGAGGUCGUACAAUCGUACAUCAUGAACAAAUCCUCGUAAAUCUUCCUAGAAUGUUGUUUACCUCUCGAUUUAGUUUCGUGUAACAGUCCGGUACAACUUCUGCCUCGCACUUUCCAGUCACCUCGAGUUCGUCAAAUUUUUUAAUGACUACUUUGGGUCUCGUCUUUUGAUCUUCAAAGGUCGUCAUUUGGAGAUUAGUUUGGAACCGUUUCUUUUAUCUUUGAAAGCAAUUUCUGCUAUUCAGGUAUUUUCUGCUCUCUAGAAGGGUUGGAAGGGUUGAGAAAAUGGAUGAUUUGAGAGUUGUACUGGAUCCGAUACUAUCAUCAAGGCCGGUUUCAGGAUUGUGGGGGCCCGGGAGCCAAAUAUCUUGUGGGGCCCCUUUUUCAGUUUUCAAAAUUUUAAUAAAAUAAUAUGUUAGGAGUAUUGGUAACCACACGUUGCUCCACCAACA